UCAUGUAACAUCUUGUAUAAUAUACAUUUAAAAAAUACAUUAUACACACUGUUAAUUGCUACUGAUACAACACAAGUGUCUAACGACAUCAUUAUAUAUACAUGUCCAAAAAGAAAAAUAUAACUAUGAAAAAUGAUAUACAAGAGCUCCUAAUCAAAACUAUGAUCUAUUUACAAUAUCCAUAGACGCGCAUAGGCCAUAGCAGAAGAUCAUGAUGACAAAAACCUUCGAAACAUCAAAAAACAAGCUUAUUCUUGCCUUUAACCUACAAGUUACCACCUAAAAAUAAUAAAAAUGGGGUGAGAUGAUAAUCUCAAUGAGUUCCCCUAUCUUAGGUGUUCACCCGGCUCUAAAGAGAUUUUAUCGAAUUGUAUCUUAAGCCAUUCAACUCUGCCAUACUUGUGCACGUUUACACAAUAGAACAAGGACUUAAGCAUCUAAGGAAAUUUAUGCUUCGUAUGAAAAACACACAACAUAGUUCACAUAACUCAAUGAAUCACUAUUUGGGAAUGCAUAACAAAUUAUCUUUCCCCGAUCUAUGUAGGACUAUGGACACGGGUCAGGAUCUCUGCUUUCUCGGAUAAUUUGUCCUCGGCCGAUCCAAAUCCAAGGACUAUGGACAUGGGUCACGAUUUUCGGCACAACAAUGAUAGUCUCCUCGACUGAUCUGAAUCCACAGAUUUUGGUCACGGAUCACAAACUUUCCCAUAUCAUGGAAUAUUUUUUUUCCCAGCCAUCCGAAUCCAUAACUUUCAUUGAACAAAUAAUCAUUCGUCUUCCCGAUUACUAACUUAUAUGAGUGUCAAACUCUGGAUACACACAAAUAAGGGUUAUUCCUAAAUACACGAUUGAUUCAUUAAUCACCACAUGAUCAUUUUAAUCAAACAUCAUGUAAUCAUUUCACAAUCACCAUGGAUUAAUGUCAUAAAUACCAUGUGAUUCUAUCAUAAUCACAAUACUACAACGUGUUCCUAUACAAGCUAGACGAAUCACAAGUUAUGAUAUCGUGCAUCAUCCAUGCCUUUGGCAUUCUCGUAGAUUUGAUGACUAACCUCUAACGAUUACUCAUUCACGGAUGCACACUGAUGCACCUCUUAUAUCCGAGUAUCGCAAUCUAAGUUAUUUACCAUAACCUAAGUUCUUUUUACUAAUUUCACUCACCUAGCUAUAACUCUAGGUUUAUUCUCACUCUUCAUUAUGGAACUUUAUUUAUUCAUUAUUCAUUCAAUACAUACACAUCAUAACAUUAUACAUGAAUGACAUAAAAUAGAUCAUUAACAAUAGGACUUUUGAACCACUACAAGAAAUUUGACACGUGCCAACGACAAAAAUCAGUUGGUAAAGGUCAAAAAACCGUUGGUAAAUGUUAAAAAAACAUAUACCAACGAACGUUUGCUUCUGUCAACUAUAAUUUCCUAUACCAACGGAAAUUUUCCGUCCCAAUAUCUUAUACCAACGACAAUUUUCAGGUGUUGGACAAAACUUUAGAGUUAUAGCAAUGGCUAAUUAUUCUGUUAAAUAACUUUAUUCACCACUUAUUUCCGUAGCAAUGACUAAUUAUACUAUUUAAAAACCUUAUCCACCACUUAUUUCCGUUGGUAUAGGACAAAACUAGUUGUUGGUAUGUGUCUUUUUUUUACAAAUAUUUCUUUUUUAUAAUUAACAUUUUAUAAUAAACAUUUUAUAAUAAUCGAAUUUGGCAAUACUUUCUAUAUGCACCACACAAAAUUUAAAGCAACAUAAAAAAAAAUUUCAAUUGGCGCCAUGCAUGAUGAUGCAUUCUUAUAGUGAAAGUCAGAAAGUGUAGGUAAAAGUCUAUUUACCGUAGGUAUAACCUAAAUAACUUAUUCCUACAGAAUCGUAGGUACAACAAAUUAUAUGUCACAAAAAGUGGCGUAUAAGUAUUUCAGAGCUAUAUCUCCGGUAAAUUGACUUUUACCUAAGCAUAUAACUGUCACUAUAAGCUUAGCCAUCAUUUGUACCUAAAUAAAUGCAUGUGCCAGACUUUUACAUAUGGUUUUUGACGGUCACUAUAAGCAUGCACCAUCAUGCAUGUCGCCUAUGUACUGUUUGAAUUUUUUUAUUUGAAAUAUUGUUACUUUGGCAUUUCUUUUUGAAAAUAUUGUUAUUUUGGAAUUUAAAAAAAAUAAAUUCUGCAAUCAUAUCAAAAUAACAAAAUAAUGUCAAUUCUAUAAUCACAACCACUAAAAUAAAUGCUACGACAAUAAAAAAUACAAAAAUUUAUUUAAGAUAAAAACAAUUUCUAAUCUUCCUCUCUUCCAUCUUCAUCUAUGCUUUCUCUAAUCUUCCUUUGUUCCAUCUUCAUAGUAAAUAGUAGCAUGACAAUGAUAAUAGGAUCGUGAGAAAUAGCCCGGUUGAAUGAGCAUAGACUUCUUAUAUUGAACUACGACGACUUCCUCUGCUAUGAUCCAGCUAUCGCAAUCGUUCUCAACAACUCUGACAAAAUUAAUACAUAAGAGUGUCACAUGUUAGGAUAUAGAUAUCAUAGAAUUAGAAUUAGUUAGGAAGUUAGUUAUUUGUUUAGUUAGGAUUAUUUUGUAUAAAUAGGGAGUUAGUUAUCUCAUUGAACUAUGAACAAUAAGAUAUAAUGUCAAAAUUGCGGCGAAUAACAAGUGGAGGCUUCAUUUAAAAAUACUAGAACACAACACAAUCCAGAGGGAAUUUCUUUCAUACGAAUGCUUCUUUCUUCAAUUCAAUCUGCUUCGUGGCUGUUUCGGAGAAGCUGUUAACGAAACUCAGUCAAAACCAUUUUCCAUAUUGAUAUAGGUUCCUUAACAAAGUGGAAAAUGAAUCAUAAAUAAUUAUAGCAAAUAUUCAAACACGCACACGUUUUUACAACCGCGUUAGCGCAUUAAAUCUCCUUUCUAUAUAUACACACUACUCUUUGUUCCUUUAACCUCACAAUUCAUUCUUUCAAUUUACAUUUUUCACUACAACUCGUUUUCUUCCUUUAAUCUCAUUAACAUCAAUUCUGUAUCCAUUUCCUCUUCGUAAAACAAUGGCAGAUAUUAAGCAACCACAAUUGAACGGAGCAUACUACGGUCCCGCCAUUCCACCACCAGCACAACCCCGUCCGCACCACCACCGAAGCAGAAGCUGUUGUU
rnacentral:lncRNA from 1 species